GACGUAGGGCGCGAGCGUUGUCCGGAUUUAUUGGGCGUAAAGAGCUCGUAGGCGGCUUGUCGCGUCGAAUGUGAAACCCACGGCUCAACUGUGGGCUUGCAUUCGAUACGGGCAGGCUAGAGUUCGGUGAGGGGAGACUGGAAUUCCUGGUGUAGCGGUGGAAAUGCGCAGACUAUCAGGAGGAACACCGGUGGCGAAGGCGGGUCUCUGGGCCGAUGACUGACGCUGGAGGAGCGAAAGCGUGGGGAGCGAACAGG
rnacentral:rRNA from 1 species